GAUUUGAUAAUAAAAUCCGAUGAUUCUCUUCUACUCCUUUUCCUAUCCCAAGAAGGAAAGAGACUUAUAAAUAUGUGGAAGAAAACAGUUUUAUUUAACAAAUUCAUUAAGAAAAAAACCAAGGCUUUUGCUCUACAAAAGAAAAGAGUUUCUCUCAACUAUCUCAAAACUUUUUUUCAUCCCAAUUGGUUUCUACAAACCAAUCUCAUCCGAGAGGAUAUGAAGGUCUUCUGACGAGUAGUGUCCCAAUUCGGUGGUUUACAGAUUCAGCGACAUCAACUAAAGGUUGAAAGACAUUAUUAGAAGAAAAACAUUGUCGGUUAGCUUCAUGCCACAUCUUGGGUCGAGUGAGGUGAUGCUCCAAAAUGGGUUGUGACAAUAAGAGGGGUAAAGGAAAGCUAGCGAAUGACAAGAAGAGAUUGUGGUUCACCAUAGGGAAUAAUAGAUGUUUUAUUCCGCAUUUAUUGUUUUGAGUAUUCAAUUUUCAGAUAAUUAUUUUAGAACUCAAGUUUACUUUUAAGAUAUUUAUUUUCACUUUAAACAAGGUCCAAACUAGUAUUUUACCUAAUAUUUUAUUAUUAUUUUA